rnacentral:tRNA from 1 species
GCCUGGGUAGCUCAGUCGGUAGAGCGUCCGACUUCGGCUCAGGUCAUGAUCUCGUGGUCUGUGAGUUCAAGCCCCACGUCGGGCU